GACGAACGCUGGCGGCGUGCCUAAUACAUGCAAGUCGAACGCACAGUUUAUACCGUAGCUUGCUACACCAUAGACUGUGAGUUGCGAACGGGUGAGUAACGCGUAGGUAACCUGCCUGGUAGCGGGGGAUAACUAUUGGAAACGAUAGCUAAUACCGCAUAAUAUUAAUUAUUGCAUGAUAAUUAAUUGAAAGGUGCAAUUGCACCACUACCAGAUGGACCUGCGUUGUAUUAGCUAGUAGGUGAGGUAACGGCUCACCUAGGCGACGAUACAUAGCCGACCUGAGAGGGUGAUCGGCCACACUGGGACUGAGACACGGCCCAGACUCCUACGGGAGGCAGCAGUAGGGAAUCUUCGGCAAUGGACGAAAGUCUGACCGAGCAACGCCGCGUGAGUGAAGAAGGUUUUCGGAUCGUAAAGCUCUGUUGUAAGAGAAGAACGGGUGUGAGAGUGGAAAGUUCACACUGUGACGGUAUCUUACCAGAAAGGGACGGCUAACUACGUG
rnacentral:rRNA from 1 species